GGUCACUAAAAAUUAUAAUGUAUCGUUUCAAGUAUUUACAAUGGCCACCACCGGCGAACGUAACCGUUGCGUCUAUCCAAGGCACCCUGUUUCAAUUGACAUCAAAACUUCAACCGUUUUCCAUUUUUUCGUUUCACGGAAUUCCGUCAAAAAACAUCUCCUUCAAUUAAAAUAUACACCACCGCAACGAUUCUACUGACACCCGCUAUAUCACCGCCACCACCACUAAUUCAACCAUUGCAACAUUACACUCACAGAUCACCACAUUUUCAAAAUUAACGAUUGAACGUCUUCGUCUCCAUUUUCACCACAGCCAAUCAUGCCAUUCCGUAAUCCGUAACCGUCUUCCACGCCGCCGUCUAUAGGAUCUUCACCACCACUGUUGUCAUUCAGGGCAAAUGGUUACGGUGACCCCCUUUGCCGGAAUUGGAUUCUUGGAACGGAGUGGAGACAUGGUUGUUGACGGUGAAUAGGUUUAUGACGGUACAUGGAUGUGUCUGAUUGGUCUGAUGCAAGCAGUUGGGUCAAGGUUAGAUAUCGCCAACAAUUUUUAUGGUGUAGAUAAAGAAACUGGCUGUUAUUUUUUGUUUUGGAAUAUUUGAUACUUUGAUGAAUAUGUAAACGGUUAUACCAAUGGUUUCGAUGAUAAAAGAUUUAAUGGUUUAUGGCAUCAAUCGGAUGACCACUAA